UUUUAUUUUCACAUGUUCUUUCGGGACAUUUUAAAUCAAUUAAACUCGUUUUAAUUCAAAUAAAAGAUUAUUUUUAAACGUUAUAAAGUAAAACACGCGAAACUAAAAACUAAAGUCGUGUGGGGGCGUGUCUCUCGCCUCCAGCCAAUGGUAUUUGUCGACAGCCUCGCCGGAAACGGAAGUCUACUGUAUUUGUGUUUUUCUUCUUUUAUUUUAGCUGAUGUUUUCGAUCCGCGCCACAGGAACAGAAACAAGAGUCUAUAUAUGUUUCAUUCUUAAUAAGGAUGGAGUAUAAACUCAUCAUGGCGGUUUCCGGUUUCCCGAGUCUUUACGACACCUACUCUCCGACCUACAGAGACCUCAACGUCAGGAGCGACUCCUGGCGGCAGGUGGCAGCGAUCGUCGGUGUUCCCGAACAUGAAUGUAGGAGGAAGUGGAAGACCCUCAGAGACCAACACAGGAGGGAGAGACAGCGGGAGAAGGAGAGAAGAGAGAGUGGCACUGGCCUCUUCAACUACAGACCCUGGAGAUACUCCUCCAUCCUGUCCUUUUUAAACCCCUUCAUCGAAGCCAGGGCUGCAGGAACCACCGACUGGGCCCUGGAGACACAGCCCCCACACCCCCUCACUGCUGACAUGGUGGGCUGCAGCACCACCACUGAGACACAGAGCGACGAUGACAACUGCAUCGCUGUAGCUGAUGCCACAUGCUCCUCCUCUUCCUUCCCAGAGUUGACUAAGAGGAAGCGUCCGUCUCCAGGCAGCAGUGAAGCUGUGAGACUGAAAGAUACAAAGAUGGAGCCCUCUGAUCCUCUGACAUUACCGCUGGUCCAGCAGUCUGUGCACCCACUGCAGCACAGCCUUGCUUCGCUGAGCCAACAACAAGUCCUACCCAGGGAUGUUCUCGACCCCACAAAUGAAGAAGAGCUGGAGGAGGCACAGGAACAGCAGCGCAGAGACAUGUCCCACUCCAGAGCCUCCAGAAGAAGGAUGUGCUGGAGUAGUGAUGGCCUGUUGGAGGCGCUACUGCAGCACAUGGACAGCAGGAACCUGGACCAGAAAGAUGAUGUCACUCUCUUCCUGCUCAGCCUGGCUCCUGCCAUGAGACGACUCUGUCCUGAAAAACAGUCUCUGCUCAGAACCAAGAUCCAGCUGCUGCUGCACGAGGCUGAGUUUGGUUCACGUGAUGCUGAGUUCACGUGAUUGGCUGCUGCUUCACGUAUCAGUUUAGCUUCUUGGAUUUCAGGAGGACUGUGAUGGUACCAGCCUCGCUCAGCUCUGUAGAACCAUCGCCAACAAGGUGGAAAUAUAAAAAUGAUCUCAGAUUGGAGAACAGAAGUCCUACAGACAGCAGGGGGCGUAGCAGUGUGUAUAAUGUGUUUAUAUUUAUCUACAGAGAUGUUUUUAAUUCUAUUGUAUUUUUCUGUAUUUUUUUUUAAAAUGAUGUCGUUACAGAAAACUGUUUUUUUUUUUUUCUUUUUUCAGUAUGAAUUUUUGAUUAAAAUGGUGUUGUUUACAUCACUCCGUGUGUUGUGAACACAGGACAGGCAGUAACUCCGUGAGUCCAAAAAGGGGAUAAAAUCCUAACAAUAGCACAAACUCGUUUUGACAAAACCCUACAGAGAAACUACAAUUAACAUUAUUCACUGCUAGGAUAUACAACACAUGUACAAAUGUAUUAAGCCAUUAGUCCACAAAGAAUCAUGAAUUAUAAAGAAAGUUAGCCAGAAGCUAAAAUAUAUCGAAAGAAAGUUAAUACUUUAAUUUUAAAAAAAGAAAAACCAUCGAAGUUAUUUAAUUCACAGAAUUCUCCAGAACUGUGACUUUGACACAGUGCAAUUGACCACGCCCCUAUGAACGUCAAAACCUAGGUUUUCCGGUCAGCUGACACAAAGCCGGAAGUAAACAGGCGAAAAGGCUGCGGAGUCGAGGACCGUAUUCUCAGGGGGCGGUAAAGAGCUUCAGGUGAGCUCCUCCUUGUGCUCAACUCGUCGAUGAUGAUGAAGGUGUUUCACUGUCCAGCUCGUCAUGGUUACGCUGUGGAAACAUCUCCGUUCAUCUCUCAAAGAGUGGCCUGUGCUGCAGCACAGUUCUACGGCCUGACAGGUUGUGGAACCCUGCUGGUCCUGGAGGAGACGGAGGUCGGACUUUCUCUCGUGAGAAGGUGAUCGCUGAUUAUUUACAUUCAU